AGAGCAUCACCGGCCCUCCACAGAGCUUCCUGGGCCCCUUAGAGCUGGGUUGAGAGGGUGGUCCUCGGUUCU
ensembl:miRNA